ACGAACGCUGGCGGCGUGCCUAAUGCAUGCAAGUCGCACGGACGACCUUCGGGUCGCCAGUGGCGCACGGCUGAGGAACACGUGGAUACCUGCCCGACCGUGGGGGAAAAAAAACGCAGCGAAAGCCGCGCUAAUCCCGCAUACGGUUCUCGUGCAAACGGGAAAGAAAAGAAAAAGCGCGGUAAAGCGCGCGGGUCGGAGGGGGUCUGCGGCCCAUCAGGUAGUCGGCGGGGGGUAACGGCCCACCGAGCCGAUGACGGGUAGCUGGUCUGUGAGGACAGACAGCCAGACUGGGACUGAGAUACGGCCCAGACUCCUACGGGAGGCAAGCAGCAAGGAAUUUUCCCCAAUGGGCGCAAGCCUGAGGGAGCAACGCCGCGUGGAGGACGACGGCCCUUCGGGUUGUAAACUCCUUUUGGGGGGGACGAUGGUGACGGUACCCCCCCGAAUCAGCCCCGGCUAACUCUGUGCCAGCAGCCGCGGUAAGACAGAGGGGGCAAGCGUUUUGUCCGGACUGACUGGGCGUAAAGCGCGCGCAGGCGGUCUGAGGCGUCGGUGCUGAAAGUCCACCGCUUAACGGUGGGAAAAAGCGCGCCGAUACGCUCAGACUGGAGGGGCGGGCGAGGGUGGUGGAAUUGCCGGUGUAGUGGUGAAAUGCGUAGAGAUCGGCAGGAACACCAGUGGCGGAAGGCGGCCACCUAGCCCGCACCUGACGCUGAGGGCGCGACAGCGUGGGGAGUGAACUGGAUUAGAUACCCAGGUAAUCCACGCCGGGUAAACGAUGCCGACUCGGUCUUCGUGGGGCGAAAUAGCCCUGGGGGGGGCCCGAGCUCACGCGCUAAGUCGGCCGCCUGGGGACUACGAGCGCAAGCUUAAUAAACUCAAAGGAAUUGACGGGGGCCCGCACAAGCAGCGGAGCGUGUGGUUUAAUUCGACGCAACGCGCAGAAACCUUACCCCAGAUUUGACUUGCAGCUGCAAGCCGGUGAAAGCCGGUCGCCUUCGAGGGUGCUGCACAGAUGCUGCAUGGCUGUCGUCAGCUCGUGUCGUGAGAUGUUGGGUUAAGUCCCGCAACGAGCGCAAACCCCCGCGGUCAGUUAUUUGUGUCUGGCCGGACAGCCCUUCGGGGAGGAAGGCGGGGAUGACGUCAAGUCCGCAUGGCUCUUACGUCUGGGGCGACACAACACGCUACAAUGGCAGCGACAGUGCGCAGCGACCCGGCAACGGGAAGCGAAUCGCCAAAACGCUGCCUCAGUGCAGAUCGGGGGCUGCAACUCGCCCCCCGUGAAGGCGGAGUUGCUAGUAACCGCGUAUCAGCCACGGCGCGGUGAAUACGUACCCGGGCCUUGUACACACCGCCCGUCACGUCAUGGGGAGUUGCCAAGGCCUGAAGUCCGUGGGCCAACCGCUUCGGCGGGGGCAGCGGCCGAGGGCCGGGGGAGCGACUGGGACG
rnacentral:rRNA from 1 species